ensembl:snoRNA
GUUUUAUGAUGACAUAGGACCUUGUCUCACCAUAAGGAUAUCAAAAGUUGAGGUUAGAUUAAUUCUGAAAUC